rnacentral:lncRNA from 1 species
AGUUUUUACAUACAUGGAUUUUUUUUGACUUAAUAAUAUUUUAGAAGAUUUAUAAUUUCAUUCUUUUACAAUAACAACAACAACAACAACAUAGAAUGUUUUACCGAUAUGCAAAAAAAAACAACAAGAUUUUUCCAAGAUUGUUUUCUAGAAAUAUCAAAUGCCUAUUAUCUAUAUAUAACAACGGGGUAAUUUCGAAACUUUUGAUAUAUUUAUCUCUAAAAAUCUCGCUAAAUAAAGACGACAAGAUACAAUUAAAUUUUUCCUUUCAUUUUUUUUUUUUUUCCUUUCUCUUGUUCAGCGACGAGAAAGAUCCUGGUUUUAUUAAUAACGUUGGCUCGCCGUUCGCUUUCUGCAUCAUAAAAAAAUAAGAAAAGAAAUGUUUAGUCAUAAAAUAAAGUCAAAGAAAGUAUAACAACAAUAGAAAGAAACCUGUAAUUUUUGUCCUCUGGAGACAAAAAAAAAUUUUUUUUUCUCUUUCUUGUUUCCUUCAGAUGUGAAAAUUUAUUGAAUUUUCGUUGCGAAUCGAUUGUCUUUUCUCACUUUUACAACAAACAAAAUUCGAUUUUUAUAUGGAAAGGUUCGUUUCGCCGCUUUGUAACUGCUUGCAUCAUUUAUCGAAUACUGAAUCCAAAAUGGCUGAAGUAUAUCCCUACAGGCAACCAAUUAAAUUCGAAGAGAGAGUCGUCUUAGUCAAACAUAUAAGAUGAUAGAAAUCAAUGGUUGCAAUGAGAGGAAAACUCCCCCAUUUCUCUUUCUUUCCCUACGUCGAAAACAUUACCAUUAACAUAUCGUCAUGUAAUCUAAUUAAUUCAUAAAAUAUUUCUAGACGUUAAAGGUGGAAAAAAAAAAAAAGAUUAUUUUACAAAUAUUAAACAUUCUACUGGAUGGAAGUUUAAUAUAAAUCAAUGAAAGAAAGAAAAAAAAAAAAGGAUAAAAUCUCGAGCAUUAAUUGCUUUUUGAAUUUUAUGUCUGUGAACACGGACCAUAAUUUCGUGUUCUCCAAUUAAUUGCAGUAUACCCAGCACACUAAUUACUAUUUAGGAAUGUUAAGAGUCACUCCCGCGUUAUAACUCACAACACUUACGAAUUCAAUGCGAAAUAUUUCAACAAUCGAGAAAGUUGGUAAACAAACAUGUCUGACGAGAAAAUGUUUAUUUGUCGUUAUUGUCAUUCUUUUGUUUCGGAAAGGAUUAUUUCUUUAGUUGUUCGUUUUCUUUUUAUCUCGUUGGAUGGAUUAACACAUUGAUUUUGUGUUUUCCACAAACUGAAUUGUCUGACUUUGUGUUUACACUGGCAAAAAUCAUCACCAAGAUAAACUCGAAAAUAUUUAGUCUUUGUUUUAGUUGUUUAGAUUGACUUCUUAAGAAGAAAAGAAAAUAAUCAAAUUAAACAAUGUCUCCUCCCCCCUUUUUUUUAAUUAAAUAUUCCUGAUUAAAAUACGAG